rnacentral:rRNA from 1 species
GCAUAUCGAUAGCGGAGGAAAAGAAACCAACAGGGAUUGCCUUAGUAACUGCGAGUGAAGCGGCAAAAGCUCAAAUUUGAAAUCUGGCGCUUCUGGCGUCCGAAUUGUAAUUUGGAGAGAUUUCUUCGGAGUGAACACCGGUCCAAGUUCCUUGGAACAGGACGUCACAGAGGGUGAGAAUCCCGUGUCUGGCUGGUUGUUUCAUUCCAUGUGAAGAGUCUUCGACGAGUCGAGUUGUUUGGGAAUGCAGCUCAAAAUGGGUGGUAAAUUUCAUCUAAAGCUAAAUAUUGGCGAGAGACCGAUAGCGCACAAGUAGAGUGAUCGAAAGAUGAAAAGCACUUUGAAAAGAGAGUUAAAAAGUACGUGAAAUUGUUGAAAGGGAAGCGCUUGAGACCAGACUCGAUUUAUGGUGAUCAGCAGUCCUUCUGGGCUGUGCACUUGCCAUUCUUCGGGACAGCAUCGGUUCUGACCGUGUGAUAAAGGUAUUGGGAACGUGGCUCCUCUCGGGGAGUGUUAUAGCCCAGUACGUAAUGACACGAGUUGGGACCGAGGACCGCGCUUCGGCUAGGAUGCUGUCAUAAUGGUCUUCAGCGACCCGUCUUGAAACACGGACCAAGGAGUCUAACAUCUAUGCGAGUGUUCGGGUGGAAAACCCUUGCGCGUAAUGAAAGUGAACGGAGGUGGGAACCUUUCGGGGUGCACCAUCGACCGAUCCUGAUGUCUUCGGAUGGAUUUGAGUAAGAGCAUAGCUGUUGGGACCCGAAAGAUGGUGAACUAUGCCUGAAUAGGGUGAAGCCAGAGGAAACUCUGGUGGAGGCUCGCAGCGGUUCUGACGUGCAAAUCGAUCGUCAAAUUUGGGUAUAGGGG